rnacentral:rRNA from 1 species
AGAGUUUGAUCAUGGCUCAGGAUGAACGCUAGCUACAGGCUUAACACAUGCAAGUCGAGGGGCAGCAUGGUCUUAGCUUGCUAAGGCCGAUGGCGACCGGCGCACGGGUGAGUAACACGUAUCCAACCUGCCGUCUACUCUUGGACAGCCUUCUGAAAGGAAGAUUAAUACAAGAUGGCAUCAUGAGUCCGCAUGUUCACAUGAUUAAAGGUAUUCCGGUAGACGAUGGGGAUGCGUUCCAUUAGAUAGUAGGCGGGGUAACGGCCCACCUAGUCUUCGAUGGAUAGGGGUUCUGAGAGGAAGGUCCCCCACAUUGGAACUGAGACACGGUCCAAACUCCUACGGGAGGCAGCAGUGAGGAAUAUUGGUCAAUGGGCGAGAGCCUGAACCAGCCAAGUAGCGUGAAGGAUGACUGCCCUAUGGGUUGUAAACUUCUUUUAUAAAGGAAUAAAGUCGGGUAUGCAUACCCGUUUGCAUGUACUUUAUGAAUAAGGAUCGGCUAACUCCGUGCCAGCAGCCGCGGUAAUACGGAGGAUCCGAGCGUUAUCCGGAUUUAUUGGGUUUAAAGGGAGCGUAGAUGGAUGUUUAAGUCAGUUGUGAAAGUUUGCGGCUCAACCGUAAAAUUGCAGUUGAUACUGGAUAUCUUGAGUGCAGUUGAGGCAGGCGGAAUUCGUGGUGUAGCGGUGAAAUGCUUAGAUAUCACGAAGAACUCCGAUUGCGAAGGCAGCCUGCUAAGCUGCAACUGACAUUGAGGCUCGAAAGUGUGGGUAUCAAACAGGAUUAGAUACCCUGGUAGUCCACACGGUAAACGAUGAAUACUCGCUGUUUGCGAUAUACAGCAAGCGGCCAAGCGAAAGCGUUAAGUAUUCCACCUGGGGAGUACGCCGGCAACGGUGAAACUCAAAGGAAUUGACGGGGGCCCGCACAAGCGGAGGAACAUGUGGUUUAAUUCGAUGAUACGCGAGGAACCUUACCCGGGCUUAAAUUGCAGAUGAAUUACGGUGAAAGCCGUAAGCCGCAAGGCAUCUGUGAAGGUGCUGCAUGGUUGUCGUCAGCUCGUGCCGUGAGGUGUCGGCUUAAGUGCCAUAACGAGCGCAACCCUUGUUGUCAGUUACUAACAGGUUCUGCUGAGGACUCUGACAAGACUGCCAUCGUAAGAUGUGAGGAAGGUGGGGAUGACGUCAAAUCAGCACGGCCCUUACGUCCGGGGCUACACACGUGUUACAAUGGGGGGUACAGAGGGCCGCUACCACGCGAGUGGAUGCCAAUCCCCAAAACCUCUCUCAGUUCGGACUGGAGUCUGCAACCCGACUCCACGAAGCUGGAUUCGCUAGUAAUCGCGCAUCAGCCACGGCGCGGUGAAUACGUUCCCGGGCCUUGUACACACCGCCCGUCAAGCCAUGGGAGCCGGGGGUACCUGAAGUGCGUAACCGCGAGGAGCGCCCUAGGGUAAAACUGGUGACUGGGGCUAAGUCGUAACAAGGUA